UCGCCUGUUUUUCAAAAACAUAGCUUUAUGAAAUUUAUAUUAAGUUUUACCUGCCCAGUGAUAAAUUUAACGGCCGCAGUACUUUGACUGUGCUAAGGUAGCAUAAUAAAUUGGCUUUUAAUUGGAGUCUAGAAUGAAAGGAUAAUAUGAAUAUAAACUGUCUUAUUUAAUAUAAAUUGAAAUUGCUUAAAAAGUGAAAAUUCUUUUAUAAAUUUAAUAGACGAGAAGACCCUAGGAGUUUAAAAUUUUGUUGGGGCAACAUUAUAGCACAUUAAACCUAUAAUAAUAGUUAAAAUUAUAAAAUAAUUUUAAUUACAUAUAAACUACCCUAGGGAUAACAGCAUAAUUAUUUUAUUUUUAGCUUGUGACCUCGAUGUUGGAUUAGGAACUUUUAGCGUUAACUACGUUGUUUGAUUGUUCUGUUCGAACAAUUGUUACCUACGUGAUCUGAGUUCAGA
rnacentral:rRNA from 1 species